CAAGCGUAUCCGGAUUUAUUGGGCGUAAAGGGUGCGCAGGCGGUCUAUUAAGUUUAGGGUGAAAGCUUGAGCUCAACUCAAUACAGCGUUAAAAACUGAUAGACUAGAGUGCAGAAGAGGGUAGUGAAUUCCAUGUGUAGCGGUAAAAUGCGUAGAUAUAUGGAGGAACACCAGUGGCGAAGGCGCUACCUGGUCUGUAACUGACGCUCAGGCACGAAAGCGUGGGGAGCAAAUAGGAUUAGAACCCUAGUAGUCCACGCCCUAAACGAUGAGAACUAAGUGUUGGAGUAUUUCAGUGCUGCGUUAACGCAAUAAGUUCUCCGCCUGAGGAGUAUGCACGCAAGUGUGAAACUUAAAGGAAUGACGGGGGCCCGCACAAGCGGUGGAGUAUGCGGUUUAAUUCGACGCAACGCGAAGAACUUACCAGGCCUUGACAUCCCUUGCAAAACUAUAGAGAUAUAGCAGAGGUUACCAAGGUGCAGGUGGUGCAUGGUUGUCGUCAGCUCGUGUCGUGAGAUGUUGGGUUAAGUCCCGCAACAGCGCAACCCUUGUCUUUAGUUACCAUCAUUAAGUUGGGGACUCUAAAGAGACUGCCGGGAUAAACCGGAGGAAGGUGGGGAUGACGUCAAAUCAUCAUGCCCCUUAUGGCCUGGGCUCACGCGUACUACAAUGGCGUAUACAACAAGAUGCAAUAUAGUGAUAUGGAGCGAAACUCAAAAUACGUCUCAGUUCGGAUCGAAGUCUGCAAUUCGACUUCGUGAAGUUGGAAUCGCUGUAAUCGCGGAUCAGCAUGCCGCGGUGAAUACGUUCUCGGGCCUUGCACACACCGCCCG
rnacentral:rRNA from 1 species